UGGGCAGGUGGGAGAAGAGCAGUCUGCUGACGGCUGCGCUAUCUCACUCUACCCAAGG
rnacentral:precursor_RNA from 1 species